ACCCUGGUAGUCCAUGCCGUAAACGAUGAGUGUUCGCCUUGGUCUACGCGGAUCAGGGCCAGCUAACGCGUGAAACACUCCGCCUGGGGUACGGUCGCAAGACCGAAACUCAAAGGAAUUGACGGGGGCCCGCACAAGCGGUGGAGCAUGUGGUUUAAUUCGAUACAACGCGCAAAAUUUACCAGCCUUGACAUAUGAACAACAAAACCUGUCCUUAACGGGAUGGUACUGACUUUCAUACAGGUGCUGCAUGGCUGUCGUCAGCUCGUGUCGUGAGAUGUUUGGUCAAGUCCUAUAACGAGCGAAACCCUCGUUUUGUGUUGCUGAGACAUGCGCCUAAGGAGAAAGUCUUUGCAACCGAAGUGAGCCGAGGAGCCGAGUGACGUGCCAGCGCUACUAAUUGAGUGCCAGCACGUAGCUGUGCUGUCAGUCAGAAGGGAGCCGGCGCCUUUCGAAGCACUUUCUAGUGUGCGCUAACGUUUGAUUGCAGCUAGCGCGCUUGACUAAAUAGAAAGGGCUUUUCUCGCUUGUUUAGUAAAGUCAAGUUUUUGGCCUUAUCUUGCAGGUGACGACGACGUCGAGUUGGCGGCGGAGAAAGACUCGGCAUUCAGGCGAGCCGCCGGUGGUGUGGUACGUAGUGGGUUUAGUACGCCCGCCAAAAGGGCUCCGAAACAAAGAAAAGGUGCGUGCCGCACUCACGAGGGACUGCCAGUGAUAUACUGGAGGAAGGUGGGAUGACGUCAAGUCCGCAUGGCCCUUAUGGGCUGGGCCACACGUGCUACAAUGGCAAUUACAAUGGGAAGCAAGGCUGUAAGGCGGAGCGAAUCCGGAAAGAUUGCCUCAGUUCGGAUUGUUCUCUGCAACUCGGGAACAUGAAGUUGGAAUCGCUAGUAAUCGCGGAUCAGCAUGCCGCGGUGAAUAUGUACCCGGGCCCUGUACACCGCCCGUCACACCCUGGGAAUUGGUUUCGCCCGAAGCAUCGGACCAAUGAUCACCCAUGACUUCUGUGUACCACGAGUGCCACAAAGGCUUUGGUGGUCUUAUUGGCGCAUACCACGGUGGGGUCGACUGGGGUGAAGUCGUAACAAGGUAGCCGUAGGGGAACCUGUGGCUG
rnacentral:rRNA from 1 species